GCUGCAGCUGGUGCUGGGCCCGCUGCACGGGCUGGCCGCCCCCGGCCGCCUCCUGGCCCACUCGCUGCAGCAGCUGGACCGCAUCGACUCCCUGAGCGAGCAGAUCUCCUUCCUGGAGGAGCAGCUGGGAUCCUGCUCCUGCAAGAAGGACCUGUGAGGCGGCAGGCACCUCCGCGGACUCCCCUCCACGGACUCCCGGCUCCUCGCCCGCCCGCCUGCCCCUGCCCCCCGGCCAGGGCCGAGGGAAGGCCCUGCUGACCCCCGGCUGGGGCCUCUCAUCCACCUGCAUCUAAAUAAAAGCGAGACGGAGGA